UUUCAUGUUGGAUCCUUGACUCUAGGAACCUUUGCAAACCCUAGAUCAUACUUGGUGAGAACCCUAUGUAAAAAGUAAUCAGAUUUGUCAAUCAUACGUACCUCAGAUCUAUGAAACUAUGUACCUAAAAAAAUGCAUGGCAUAUCAUUGCAUUCAUUCACAUUCAAUUUGAUAUGUAUUUUAUCAGGAUGCAUGAAUAUAUUUUCCAGAAAAAACAAAUAAAAAA
rnacentral:lncRNA from 1 species